UACACUCCUACGGGAGGCAGCAGUGAGGAAUAUUGGACAAUGGGUGGAAGCCUGAUCCAGCCAUCCCGCGUGCAGGAAGACGGCCCUAUGGGUUGUAAACUGCUUUUAUCUGGGGAUAAACCUACUUACGUGUAAGUAGCUGAAGGUACCAGAAGAAUAAGCACCGGCUAACUCCGUGCCAGCAGCCGCGGUAAUACGGAGGGUGCAAGCGUUAUCCGGAUUUAUUGGGUUUAAAGGGUCCGUAGGCGGACUGAUAAGUCAGUGGUGAAAUCCGACAGCUUAACUGUCGAACUGCCAUUGAUACUGUUAGUCUUGAGUAAGGUUGAAGUGGCUGGAAUAAGUAGUGUAGCGGUGAAAUGCAUAGAUAUUACUUAGAACACCAAUUGCGAAGGCAGGUCACUAAGUCUUAACUGACGCUGAUGGACGAAAGCGUGGGGAGCGAACAGGAUUAGAAACCCCAGUAGUCCCAUG
rnacentral:rRNA from 1 species